GCUGCAGGCUUAACACAUGCAAGUCGAGGGGCAGCAUGGUCUUAGCUUGCUAAGGCCGAUGGCGACCGGCGCACGGGUGAGUAACACGUAUCCAACCUGCCGUCUACUCUUGGACAGCCUUCUGAAAGGAAGAUUAAUACAAGAUGGCAUCAUGAGUCCGCAUGUUCACGUGAUUAAAGGUAUUCCGGUAGACGAUGGGGAUGCGUUCCAUUAGAUAGUAGGCGGGGUAACGGCCCACCUAGUCUUCGAUGGAUAGGGGUUCUGAGAGGAAGGUCCCCCACAUUGGAACUGAGACACGGUCCAAACUCCUACGGGAGGCAGCAGUGAGGAAUAUUGGUCAAUGGGCGCAGGCCUGAACCAGCCAAGUAGCGUGAAGGAUGACUGCCCUAUGGGUUGUAAACUUCUUUUAUAAAGGAAUAAAGUCGGGUAUGGAUACCCGUUUGCAUGUACUUUAUGAAUAAGGAUCGGCUAACUCCGUGCCAGCAGCCGCGGUAAUACGGAGGAUCCGAGCGUUAUCCGGAUUUAUUGGGUUUAAAGGGAGCGUAGAUGGAUGUUUAAGUCAGUUGUGAAAGUUUGCGGCUCAACCGUAAAAUUGCAGUUGAUACUGGAUAUCUUGAGUGCAGUUGAGGCAGGCGGAAUUCGUGGUGUAGCGGUGAAAUGCUUAGAUAUCACGAAGAACCCCGAUUGCGAAGGCAGCCUGCUAAGCUGCAACUGACAUUGAGGCUCGAAAGUGUGGGUAUCAAACAGGAUUAGAUACCCUGGUAGUCCACACGGUAAACGAUGAAUACUCGCUGUUUGCGAUAUACGGCAAGCGGCCAAGCGAAAGCGUUAAGUAUUCCACCUGGGGAGUACGCCGGCAACGGUGAAACUCAAAGGAAUUGACGGGGGCCCGCACAAGCGGAGGAACAUGUGGUUUAAUUCGAUGAUACGCGAGGAACCUUACCCGGGCUUAAAUUGCAGAUGAAUUACGGUGAAAGCCGUAAGCCGCAAGGCAUCUGUGAAGGUGCUGCAUGGUUGUCGUCAGCUCGUGCCGUGAGGUGUCGGCUUAAGUGCCAUAACGAGCGCAACCCUUGUUGUCAGUUACUAACAGGUUCCGCUGAGGACUCUGACAAGACUGCCAUCGUAAGAUGUGAGGAAGGUGGGGAUGACGUCAAAUCAGCACGGCCCUUACGUCCGGGGCUACACACGUGUUACAAUGGGGGGUACAGAGGGCCGCUACCACGCGAGUGGAUGCCAAUCCCAAAAACCUCUCUCAGUUCGGACUGGAGUCUGCAACCCGACUCCACGAAGCUGGAUUCGCUAGUAAUCGCGCAUCAGCCACGGCGCGGUGAAUACGUUCCCGGGCCUUGUACACACCGCCCGUCAAGCCAUGGGAGCCGGGGGUACCUGAAGUGCGUAACCGCGAGGAGCGCCCUAGGGUAAAACUGGUGACUGGGGCUAAGUC
rnacentral:rRNA from 1 species